AUUGAACGCUGGCGGCAUGCUUUACACAUGCAAGUCGAACGGCAGCGCGGGCUUCGGCCUGGCGGCGAGUGGCGAACGGGUGAGUAAUACAUCGGAACGUGCCCAGUCGUGGGGGAUAGCUCGGCGACAGCCGGAUUAAUACCGCAUACGACCUGCGGGUGAAAGCGGGGGAUCUUCGGACCUCGCGCUAUUGGAGCGGCCGAUGGCAGAUUAGCUAGUUGGUGGGGUAAAGGCCUACCAAGGCGACGAUCUGUAGCUGGUCUGAGAGGACGACCAGCCACACUGGGACUGAGACACGGCCCAGACUCCUACGGGAGGCAGCAGUGGGGAAUUUUGGACAAUGGGCGAAAGCCUGAUCCAGCAAUGCCGCGUGUGUGAUGAAGGCCUUCGGGUUGUAAAGCACUUUUGGCGGGAACGAAAAGGACUGUGCCAAUACCACGGUUCGAUGACGGUACCCGCAGAAUAAGCACCGGCUAACUACGUG
rnacentral:rRNA from 1 species